rnacentral:ncRNA from 1 species
GGGCAAAGCUAUCGAAAGGUAGUGACGCAAAGCUAUAGGGACUAAUUCUCCUUAUGGGGGAUAUGUCAGCCAGUUGCUAA